rnacentral:rRNA from 1 species
GACGAACGCUGGCGGCGUGCUUAACACAUGCAAGUCGAACGAUGAAGCUGGAGCUUGCUCCGGUGGAUUAGUGGCGAACGGGUGAGUAACACGUGAGCAAUCUGCCCUUGACUCUGGGAUAACUGCGGGAAACUGUAGCUAGUACCGGAUACGAGACCUGAAGGCAUCUUCGGGUCUGGAAAGAAUUUCGGUCAAGGAUGAGCUCGCGGCCUAUCAGCUUGUUGGUGAGGUAAUGGCUCACCAAGGCGACGACGGGUAGCCGGCCUGAGAGGGUGACCGGCCACACUGGGACUGAGAUACGGCCCAGACUCCUACGGGAGGCAGCAGUGGGGAAUAUUGCACAAUGGGCGAAAGCCUGAUGCAGCAACGCCGCGUGAGGGAUGAAGGCCCUCGGGUUGUAAACCUCUUUUAGCAGGGAAGAAGCGAAAGUGACGGUACCUGCAGAAAAAGCACCGGCUAACUACGUGCCAGCAGCCGCCGCGG